rnacentral:lncRNA from 1 species
GGUGCAUGACUUAUUAUUAGAAAACAGGGAGGUAAAACAUGCUCCCACACAAAAGCUUAGUGUUUUAAACUGGGAGGCAACACAUCCUCCCCAAACAGUUUACUGAUUGGCCUCCUCCUUUGGCACCAUCUUUGAGCAGAAACAUCAAAACUCUGUUGUUUCAUCACCUACAAAAACAUGGGUUCGAAAACCCUGAGUACGGAGUGUACUUUCACAAGUCUUACCCGACAAAGUAAAAGACUCUCAAGGAUAUGCUGGCUUGUGGGAUUCAAGGUAAAGCUUGUCAAGAUUCAAAGACUCUGUUUGCAGAAAUGCUUACUAAUAGUUGAUCCUUAAAAAUCUAGUUUUAUUAUUAGGUUAAGUCAUUACCUGCAUCUAGAGUUCAUUCUAUCCUAGUUCAAGCACUUGGCCUACACUAGCCGUCUUUUAUCAACCCUUCAUUUCACUGGAUUUCUAUGUGUAGGGCAGUGACCAAGUCUUCAUGUCCGAGAAAUAACGGCGAUCCGAAUCGAUUAAUACCCAGCUGGGGAUCUCCAACCACGCGACAUAUGUAGCACUUAACCCUUGCAUAUGUCAACUCGCCACCGGGUUUCUCAAGACUAGACCGGGUUCACGCCAACCGAGAGCAUAGAUACACCACCGUCCAGGCUCUUGCCACGGAGGGUACACGCUACUCUUGCCAUCUCUCCACUCCCAUUGCGUGUUGGCCUUUCUGGUAUUAGUCCGACCAAGGCAAAGCUUACCCAUGACGAGGCAUGUGUCCAGUUAAAAGGUCCUCAAUCAUCAAGCCUACAUCGACACAGUCCUUAAUCGACUCAGAUGGAGACACUACAUCGAGACUUCCUUCUCGUGCAAGUCACCCGCCCGGUCUCCUCUUUAUAAUUUACAACCCAAAGUUUGGUACCUGUCAGAGGUACAUUUUUUCGAUGUUGAACCCAUCAUGGCCAUGAUGGAUUCAACAUCUAGUCUUUUCUUUAAAAACUUCCCAUCCCAUAUGAAUCAUCAUCUUUGUUUAAAACAAAACAUUUUGUUUCUAAAGGAAGACUACGCAUCAGAAAACUUUUAAGUAAAACAGGUAUCAAGGAAUGGUAAACAGUUCCAAGGAAGGAAAUGCAGCAAUUGUUUAUCAUUCAACUCGUAUCACCUAAUGCAUCAUUUCAAGUGAUAAAGAGUUUGAAAUAACAAGGAAGGGGUAAAUGCACUGAGGCUUGCCUUAUGUUGUAGGAGGCUCAGGGUCUGUUCCACAAAUAUCAAAGUAGAAGUUGUUCUCGACAGGUGGAGUUUCAGCUUGUGGGGGCAACUUCUUCUUCGACUACCACUUCUUCUUCGUUUUCUAUACAUAACAAUACAUAUACAUGAAUGCUCAUGUGAUGCUAUGAAUAUACAGUUACAAUAGAAACACACUAAGUUGUAUCUUGAAUACAACUUUCCUUCACGGUGCCCACUAGUCACUAGAGUUUCCUAGUUUAGUGAUGUAUUAGGGUUAGGUAUUUAAAUCCUAGAAGGCUAGUUUCUUGGGUUUGGGAUCAAACAAUGUCCAAAGCAUGCUAAACUUUACCCAAGGGUUUUAGUCAUCAUAUUAAGCUCACCCAAAAAGUUUUACUAUUUUUGGAGCUACCAAUUAAAUUCUAAAAUUCUAAAAGGCUAGGUUUAGGCAUCUUUAAAUGCUAAAUAAUUCCUGAUUGAGACUAAAAACCUUGGAACUAUUUUUAUUAAAUAGUAGAGGAAUUUAGGAGUCUAGUAAAAUUGGUCCCAUUUUUUUAAUCAUUUUUCUACCAAUUUCUAUGGAUUUCCAAACUUACUUGGAAAAAGAAAAGGAAAAACUAUUAACAGUGUUGGGCCGAAAUCAGCCCAACAGACCUAGGCCUACACAAAACUCAGGCGCGCCAGCGACCGCGCGGGUGGAUUGCGCAAAGGCCUCUGAUCAUUCAAACAAUUGCGAAGCGCUCACUGAUACUAUUCACAUGAGUCACUUACACUCACAUCAAAGCCCUUCUUCUUGGUUCUAUUUAUGUCCGCGAGACCCCCGACGACGCCGCAUCGAACACCAGACAGCCGCUAUCGGAGCUCACCGCCGGCAGCCCUCUUUCGAGGCGACGAGCACCCCAGCCACUUCCCUAGGCAUAACCAACCCUCACCCCACAACCAAUAGGAUUAUUAUGGCCUACGGUCUACGAUACUCGGUUCAUGGCGGACUCCGAGGUUCGCUGGGCUUGGUCUCGAUGCCGCGACGCGGUAGAACUCAAUUGAUAGGCAUGACAAGCACUAAGGACUCACUAGGAGCUCGAAACGGUAGUGGGAUGGGUAGGACGAAGAACAGAGAGGGCGGUCCACGUCGGGGUGGUGGACCACGGAAUAUUCUAGCGUCGAAGGGUUGUUUCAGUGAGAUAAAGGCAGUAACGUUAAAUUAAAUGGAUCGAGGAGUACCCCUAGCAUCGGAGGAAGCUCGAACGAAUAGAAUUUAAGGAAUGCUUGCUCAAUUUGACCUGGCCAUGGAGGGGUCUUUCACGGCGAAGCCGAGAACAGCGAGGGGGGAGCCAACGACUUUAUUAGGUUUCUUCACGAAAUUGAGCGGGUUGCGUAAGCAC